rnacentral:rRNA from 1 species
UACGUAGGGUGCAAGCGUUAAUCGGAAUUACUGGGCGUAAAGCGUGCGCAGGCGGUUUUGUAAGUUUGUCGUGAAAGCCCCGGGCUCAACCUGGGAAUGGCGAUGAAGACUGCAAGGCUUGAAUCUGGCAGAGGGGGGUAGAAUUCCACGUGUAGCAGUGAAAUGCGUAGAGAUGUGGAGGAACACCGAUGGCGAAGGCAGCCCCCUGGGUCAAGAUUGACGCCCAUGCAGGAAAGCGUGGGGAGCAAACAGG